rnacentral:rRNA from 1 species
AGAGUUUGAUCAUGGCUCAGGAUGAACGCUAGCUACAGGCUUAACACAUGCAAGUCGAGGGGAAACGAUAUUGGAAGCUUGCUUCCGAUAGGCGUCGACCGGCGCACGGGUGAGUAACGCGUAUCCAACCUGCCCACCACUUGGGGAUAACCUUGCGAAAGUAAGACUAAUACCCAAUGAUAUCUCUAGAAGACAUCUGAAAGAGAUUAAAGAUUUAUCGGUGAUGGAUGGGGAUGCGUCUGAUUAGCUUGUUGGCGGGGUAACGGCCCACCAAGGCAACGAUCAGUAGGGGUUCUGAGAGGAAGGUCCCCCACAUUGGAACUGAGACACGGUCCAAACUCCUACGGGAGGCAGCAGUGAGGAAUAUUGGUCAAUGGACGAGAGUCUGAACCAGCCAAGUAGCGUGCAGGAAGACGGCCCUAUGGGUUGUAAACUGCUUUUAUAAGGGAAUAAAGUGAGAGUCGUGACUCUUUUUGCAUGUACCUUAUGAAUAAGGACCGGCUAAUUCCGUGCCAGCAGCCGCGGUAAUACGGAAGGUCCGGGCGUUAUCCGGAUUUAUUGGGUUUAAAGGGAGCAUAGGCCGGAGAUUAAGCGUGUUGUGAAAUGUAGACGCUCAACGUCUGCACUGCAGCGCGAACUGGUUUCCUUGAGUACGCACAAAGUGGGCGGAAUUCGUGGUGUAGCGGUGAAAUGCUUAGAUAUCACGAAGAACUCCGAUUGCGAAGGCAGCUCACUGGAGCGCAACUGACGCUGAAGCUCGAAAGUGCGGGUAUCGAACAGGACUAGAUACCCUGGUAGUCCACGCCGUAAACGAUGACUACUAGGUGUCGGGCAGCAAAGCUGUUCGGUGCCGCAGCAAACGCAAUAAGUAGUCCACCUGGGGAGUACGUUCGCAAGAAUGAAACUCAAAGGAAUUGACGGGGACCCGCACAAGCGGUGGAGCAUGUGGUUUAAUUCGAAGCAACGCGAAGAACCUUACCUGCUCUUGACAUCUCCCUGACCGGCAAGUAAUGUUGCCUUUCCUUCGGGACAGGGAUGACAGGUGGUGCAUGGUUGUCGUCAGCUCGUGUCGUGAGAUGUUGGGUUAAGUCCCGCAACGAGCGCAACCCCUAUCUUUAGUAGCCAGCGGUCAGGCCGGGCACUCUAGAGAGGCUGCCAGGGAUAACCUGGAGGAAGGUGGGGAUGACGUCAAAUCAUCAUGCCCCUUAUGAGCAGGGCUACACACGUGCUACAAUGGCGUAAACAAAGGGAGGCAGAACCGCGAGGUCGAGCAAAUCCCAAAAAUAACGUCUCAGUUCGGAUUGUAGUCUGCAACUCGACUACAUGAAGCUGGAAUCGCUAGUAAUCGCGAAUCAGAAUGUCGCGGUGAAUACGUUCCCGGGUCUUGUACACACCGCCCGUCACACCAUGGGAGUCAGUAACGCCCGAAGUCAGUGACCCAACCGUAAGGAGGGA